AGAGUUUGAUCCUGGCUCAGAUUGAACGCUGGCGGCAUGCCUUACACAUGCAAGUCGAACGGCAUCACGGGGGCAACCCUGGUGGCGAGUGGCGAACGGGUGAGUAAUACAUCGGAACGUGUCCUGUAGUGGGGGAUAGCCCGGCGAAAGCCGGAUUAAUACCGCAUACGAUCUACGGAAGAAAGCGGGGGAUCCUUCGGGACCUCGCGCUAUAGGGGCGGCCGAUGGCAGAUUAGCUAGUUGGUGGGGUAAAGGCCUACCAAGGCGACGAUCUGUAGCUGGUCUGAGAGGACGACCAGCCACACUGGGACUGAGACACGGCCCAGACUCCUACGGGAGGCAGCAGUGGGGAAUUUUGGACAAUGGGGGAAACCCUGAUCCAGCAAUGCCGCGUGUGUGAAGAAGGCCUUCGGGUUGUAAAGCACUUUUGUCCGGAAAGAAAACUUCUGCCCUAAUACGGCGGGAGGAUGACGGUACCGGAAGAAUAAGCACCGGCUAACUACGUGCCAGCAGCCGCGGUAAUACGUAGGGUGCGAGCGUUUAAUCGGAAUUACUGGGCGUAAAGCGUGCGCAGGCGGUUCGUUAAGACAGAUGUGAAAUCCCCCGGGCUUUAACCUGGGAACUGCAUUUGUGACUGGCGAGCUAGAGUAUGGCAGAGGGGGGUAGAAUUCCACGUGUAGCAGUGAAAUGCGUAGAGAUGUGGAGGAAUACCGAUGGCGAAGGCAGCCCCCUGGGCCAAUACUGACGCUCAUGCACGAAAGCGUGGGGAGCAAACAGGAUUAGAUACCCUGGUAGUCCACGCCCUAAACGAUGUCAACUAGUUGUUGGGUCUUCAUUGACUUAGUAACGUAGCUAACGCGUGAAGUUGACCGCCUGGGGAGUACGGUCGCAAGAUUAAAACUCAAAGGAAUUGACGGGGACCCGCACAAGCGGUGGAUGAUGUGGAUUAAUUCGAUGCAACGCGAAAAACCUUACCUACCCUUGACAUGGUCGGAACCCUGCUGAAAGGUGGGGGUGCUCGAAAGAGAACCGAUACACAGGUGCUGCAUGGCUGUCGUCAGCUCGUG
rnacentral:rRNA from 1 species